UUGUUUUCUGUUUCUGUAUGCUCUUGUCCAUGCUCUUCCCGAAUGCUCACCUUGCAAAGUCGUUCCACUUGGACACUGACUGAGAUUCUACACACAGCAAAUGUAUGAUGGCCUCUAAGAGAGCAGCACAGAUGGAAAAUAUCACCUCAAUCAGAGCACUGGAAAUUGUGUCUGCUUAGUUGACAGUCUGUGGCAAGACGGUCAUUUAGGAUUUAGGCAAACUGCUCUGAGAAGUGAAACUGAGGAGGUUUCCUACGAGGGAGGAAAGUUGACAUCCUCAGAGGAAAUAGCUUGACCUAAUACGCACAGUCAGAUGCACAGUCACACAUUUAUAUGCAUGGAUAUGGGUGUCUCAGGCAGGAUAGAGUGUUUGAGAACAAGAGAGACUGGUGACCAAACCUGAUUCAUCCAUCAUCAGACCAUCUGUAUCCAGUGACAGCCUGUCAAGAGAAGGCAUGUGCGGCGCCCCACUGGCCACAACAACCUUAAGUCAACAACCUUGAUUAUCAUUACCUCCACCUAGACAGUUUUGUUCUCAGCCCUGUCUGUUUGUUGGUGGUUUGGUUUGUCAGCAGGACUACAAUUUCAUGUAGCUAUGGAUGGUUUAGAACCCAACCAACCCUAACCUUAAUGCAGGGCUAUCAAGUUUAAAGCCUGUCCUCACCAGGAAAACUACCGUACAGGUGGAAAAUGCAAGCAACUGAUUAUGACCAAUAUUUAUGUAUGUUGUUGGAUGGCUUCUUCUACUGGCUGUAGUCAUCAUUACAGCUUGAGGAGAAAGUAGUGUAAAGAGUGAAAAAUGUGUACAGAAAGGGGAAAAAGUGAUAGAUGGUGGGGUUAAAUGAGCACAGAACUUUCAUCCAGAUCACUGUUGAUGUCCAAUAUCCAGAGAAGUUAAGUGAGUUCUUUUGGCUUACCUACAUAAUGAAGUUACAUGACCUACUGUAUGUAGAGCAGGUAACAUAGUUAGGCUGCAUAGUAACUAUCUAGCAUAUUUAAGUAUAUACCAAUGUUGUACUCUAAACUGAUUUUCAUAAUAGCACUUUAAAAUGAUGGUACUUUAUUGCACUUUUUAGAGAAGUUAAAAUUAUGUGCAACUUCUACAGUGUACACUUGAACUUUGUUUUCAACAUAUUUGUUGAACAUUUUAAAAUGAGUGCUUUAAAGGGUCAUUUUAACAAUACACUAAAAGCAUAUCUUAAAAAUACACAUUUCAAUAUCCUAAAGUGAAUGCAUUAGUAUGAGUCAUUAGUAUACUUAUGUUCAUGUCAUUCAUAAUACACUAGCAGUAUGAUAACCUCUGUUAACUGUUAUGCCUUCGGCAUGAAACAGAUUUUCACAGUUUUCACUAAUCAAAGCAGCAGUUGUGUGCUAGUCGUGCUUGGAUGCCAGUGUAGGCAUGCUAUUUGUAAAGAGUCAGUUAAGUCAUGUUUGUUCCAAAUUCCAUGGUUCCACAGUUGUCCCUUACAGUGCUGGGAAAUUGGACACCUAUACAGUGACUGAAUGAUGGAAUACUAUGCUGGCUCUCAUGCCUGUGGAAAAGCAAAUCAGUUCUUAACUGGACUUUAUCAUUGCUUCUGUUACUUAACAAAGUAUAAUUAAAAUGUAAUCAGUCACAGUUUGUAACUGUCAGUUACAAUGUUUGAUUAACCUCCCUUUUUCAAAUAGUUCUCUGUGGUUGAUCACACAAGCCACAAGUUCCAACAGUCUCUUUUUGGGGGGCCAAGAUUUUAAUCAUAUACUAACCACACCUUUUAUAGUUUUUAGAAAAAGAUACUUUUGGCUAACAUAUAAAGCUAAUGGAGGCUGGCAUUGGGUGUGACAGAAAGGUCAACCAACGAGAAGGGCCAGAGACAAAUCAGGCAAUGCCAUCCAUCAUUAGAAUUUGCCUCAGGGACAAGUGUUUAAGAAAUAGGUGGAGGUGAAGAAAGACAAUUAUUUCACAAUUUAAGGUACAUUCUAAUACUUUUUCCCUGCAUAACAAUACAAUAAGUGCUUGUUUUUACCCUUUCACCCACUAGUAACUUACAGUUUUGGCCCUCCAAGGUGAAAUGUCUGGUGCCAUUCCAGCCCUGGAAUACACUCUAAUUCAACACACAAGCUUCCUCCUGAAUGUGUCUCCAUCUAGUCUCUAAGUAUUCUUGAAGUAAAUAGGUUUAAAAAAGAGAACAUAGAAAAGUAUCUGGAGCAAAUGAAACAAUGGGAUUCACAGGUAACUGACAGUAGUAGACAAUUUUAAGAAACAAAGAAUAUAUUGUGUUGCUUUUAGCUUCUCCCUGUUUCACUCAGCUGCAGUAGAUACACUUACACAGCUAUCCACCAACACAACAUUAACUGUUGUUUUGCGCAUUGUGAUCAUGACAUAAAAAAGUUGAAUGGCA